AGCUAGGCCCUCUUUCUGUCUUGGCUACUCAGAACUCUUCAUAUCAAGUUCUCAGAAUGAAGUGUCUUGCUCAGCUCCUGUGGCUGCUUAUGGUUUGGCUCCCUGGAGCCAGUGGGGAUAUUGUGAUGACCCAGCCUGCAGUUACCAGUCCUGUUAGUCUUGGAGAAUCAACUUCCAUCUCCUGCAGGUCUAGUAAGAGUCUCCUACAUAGCGAUGGCAUCACUUACUUGUAUUGGUACCUGCAGAGACCAGGCCAGUCUCCUCAGCUCCUGAUCUAUCAGAUGUCCAACCUUGCCUCAGGAGUCCCAAACAGGUUCAGUGGCAGUGGGUCAGGAACAGAUUUCACACUGAAAAUAAGUCGAGUGGAGGCUGAGGAUGUGGGUGUUUAUUACUGUCAGCAAUGGCUAGAACUUCCUCCCACAGUGAUACAUCCCUGA